CAUUUGAAGCGUGUUCUCUGCGUGCACAACAGUUACUAUUCGCGCGCACUCUGAAAUUUGGGUUCGCGGAGCUGGUUGUAAUCGAAGGUAAGUGUUGUUUUCCGACUGUUUUUUGAUUUGUCAAGCGUGAAGAUAUACGUGUGUUGGCCUUGUGUUUUAUCUUUAGAGCUUGCAUACGCUAGGCGGGAAGCGCGCGCCAUGGAAAGCGAAUACGAGAGUAAGUUAUCGUUGCAUUUAUCAUUCUUCCACGUUUGUUGUGUUCAUCUGCCUUCUAUACUUUAGACGUCACCCGCUUAAACAGCACGACAAAAGUGAGUUUACCGGUUACCACGUGGUUCACCAAGUGGUUUACCACUCUUCUAGUCGCCUAAAGAUGGCUUCCAUGUCGAGAUCGACUGCUGAUCAGUCACGCCGUGCAGGCCGAUGUGCGCGCAAUCUUGGUAGCUGCUGGCGAAUCUUUUAACGCGAAGGAGAAUCUUUCACGUGUCGCUUUUACCUCCAAUCAGCCAGAAGUUCCCGAACCACCUCUGAACCGUUCGCUCGGCCAAGUUGCGAGUGCCGGCAUUUAUGGCCGCGUGCAGCCAGAAGUGUCCGAACCACCUUUGAACCGUUCCCUCGGCCAAGUUGCCAGUGCCGGCAUUUAUGGCGGCAUGCUGGAAUCUUGCGACUAGGAGUACCAUACUGGUGACAACAUGCACAGCGUUCCCGUGGAACCCGAUAACGUGCCCGACGGGUGCCACAGAUGCCUUAGCCUACACAGCAGGACACUGCAACAGAUUCUAACUCAAGUAUAUUGAAAGAACUGGAUAUCGCAUCGUUGAGAGAAGACUUGUGACAAUGAAGCUUAGAGUCAAGUGUGCCUCACGAUGCCGUCAUAAAUCUGUUAAAGGUUCUUCGCUCGUAUUCUUGCAUGUGUGAGCUACCAAGUAGCGCCAGGGUGCUUUUGUCCACACCAAGAGUGCCAAAUGUCACACUACUGCUGGAUUCUGGACAUUAUUGUCAUUUUGGUUUGCGUGAAGGGCUUCAAUCUGCUCUCAGACAUGUUUACCAUGUGCCCAAUGCCUGUGGUCUGUUUUAUGUUCAGGCUCAUCGCACAUACCAGUACCCUCAACUCUUACUGCGGCUGCAGGGCCACACACGGAACCACGCAUGUUUGGUGCUUUGCACAUGUUGGAAGCUGCCAACUCCUUUACGGAACUGCAAUCCCAUGGCUCAUCGCACAUACCAGUAUCCUCAACUCUUGCUGUGGCUGCAUGGCCACACAUGGAACCGAG